GCGUGGGGGCUUAUCAUGGGGUCCCACACUCCUGAGAAGAGGGAGGGGGAAGAAUGUAGAAUGUUCCCCGCACAUCCUAUCAUUGACAACUUGCAUUAUAAAAGCACCAGAGGUAUGAAUGUAAUAACCAGAAUCAGAAGCUUCCUGCUCACGGAUAUGAGGGGGAGAUGGACCAAAAUAGCCUCACAGCACUAAUAGCAGACUCUGGGAAGCCACCCCUUCUCCUCUGGAGCCCCUUUAUACACACCUCUUCUAAGUAAUUUCCAACCUUUUGUUGACUCACAAAAAGAAGAAGAAUAGAAGUUACUGGCGUUUGUAGUAACAGGAUGAGAAAGUACGAGACUUCCUGUUGUGUGUGUGACAGCUGGUGAUAAGUGGAGGGCUCUGCACAGGAAAUCCGCUCAACUUCUGCAAUGUGACCUGCCUGAAACUUGGGCGCUCCUUCAGUCUGGAUGUUGAUGGCAGGACAGGGGGGCGCCUGGACCAUGGGCGAUGUGGUAGAGAAGAGUUUGGAAGGGCCGCUGGCACCUUCUACGGAUGAGGCCUCCCAGAAAAGAGGAGACCUGGUAGAAAUCUUAAAUGGGGAUAAGGUAAAAUUCGAUGACACGGGACUCUCCUUAAUUCUGCAGAAUGGCCUGGACACCCUCCGCGUGGAAAAUGCUCUGACAGAUGUCAUCUUGUGUGUGGACAUUCAGGAAUUCUCCUGCCACCGCGUGGUGCUUGCCGCGGCCAGCAACUAUUUCAGGGCCAUGUUCUGCAAUGAUUUAAAGGAAAAGUAUGAGAAGAGGAUCAUUAUCAAAGGGGUCGAUGCUGAGACCAUGCACACUCUUCUGGACUACACAUACACCAGCAAGGCGCUGAUCACCAAGCAGAAUGUGCAACGGGUCCUGGAAGCUGCUAACCUUUUCCAGUUCCUGCGGAUGGUGGAUGCCUGUGCUAGCUUCCUAACAGAAGCCUUGAAUCCAGAAAACUGUGUUGGAAUACUGAGGCUGGCAGAUACACACUCCUUGGACAGCCUGAAAAAGCAGGUGCAAAAUUACAUCAUCCAAAACUUUGUGCAGAUUCUGAACUCUGAGGAGUUCCUAGAGCUUCCCGUGGACACUCUGUACCACAUCUUGAAGAGUGAUGAGCUGUAUGUAACAGAGGAGGCUCAGGUGUUUGAGACUGUGAUGAAUUGGGUCCGACACAAACAGGCAGAACGACUCUGCUUGCUCCCCUACCUCCUUGAGAAUGUGCGCUUGCCACUGCUGGACCCGUGGUACUUUGUGGAGACGGUGGAGGCAGAUCCUCUCAUCAGACAGUGCCCGGAGGUCUUCCCGCUGCUUCAGGAAGCCAGGAUGUACCACCUUUCAGGCAAUGAGAUCAUUUCUGAGCGCACCAAGCCCAGGAUGCAUGAGUUUCAGUCUGAGGUAUUCAUGAUCAUUGGUGGCUGCACAAAGGAUGAACGGUUUGUGGCGGAGGUAACCUGCCUGGACCCCCUGAGGCGCAGCCGCCUGGAGGUGGCCAAGCUCCCCAUGACGGAGCAUGAGCUGGAGAGUGAGAACAAGAAGUGGGUGGAGUUUGCAUGCGUGACAUUGAAAAAUGAGGUCUACAUCUCAGGUGGCAAAGAGACACAGCAUGAUGUUUGGAAAUAUAAUUCUUCAAUCAACAAAUGGAUUCAAAUUGAGUAUUUGAACAUAGGCCGCUGGAGGCAUAAAAUGGUGGUAUUAGGUGGCAAGGUCUAUGUGAUUGGAGGUUUUGAUGGCUUACAGAGGAUCAACAAUGUGGAGACCUAUGAUCCCUUCCAUAACUGCUGGUCAGAGGCAGCACCCCUUCUUGUCCACGUCAGUUCCUUCGCAGCUACCAGCCAUAAGAAGAAACUCUAUGUGAUUGGGGGCGGGCCCAAUGGGAAGCUGGCCACAGACAAGACUCAGUGUUAUGACCCUUCAACCAAUAAAUGGAAUUUAAAGUCGUCCAUGCCGGUGGAGGCUAAAUGCAUCAAUGCUGUCAGUUUCCGGGACCGCAUCUAUGUUGUUGGAGGGGCUAUGAGAGCGCUGUACGCCUACAGCCCUCUGGAAGACAGCUGGUGCCUGGUGACCCAGCUCAGCCACGAGAGGGCCAGCUGCGGCAUCGCGCCCUGCAACAACCGGCUCUACAUCACUGGGGGGCGGGACGAGAAGAACGAGGUCAUCGCCACGGUGCUGUGCUGGGACCCCGAGGCCCAGAAACUGACGGAGGAGUGUGUCCUGCCCCGGGGGGUGUCGCACCACGGCAGUGUCACCAUCAGGAAAUCUUACACCCACAUCCGGAGGAUCGUGCCCGGAGCCGUGUCGGUGUGACUGCGGGAGGGCGGAGCCACGGGGGCGCGGGGCGAGGUGCCAGGAGACCUCCCUCCUCACCUGUUGCCCGGGUUCGUCCCACUUCAGACAGCAGGCUGGGCUGGAGCUACAGGCCACACACCUGGGUUCCCCGCGGCUCCGCAUGGGAGCUCCUUUUGGAAGUCACAGCUUUGGGACACCAGCCAGGAAUGUUUGUGCGACCUACCUCAGGAGGGAAGAAGAGUAAUAUGUAACAUUCAGGACAGACCUGUCCCCUGCCAGGUUCUGUGCCAAGCACUUUUGUGUAUCAAUUUGUUUAACCACCAUAAUGACCUGGUCACCGGACAUUAUCACUUCUGUUUUACAGCUAUCCCAGCACCAAAGCAUCUCUAAGGGUCUCCUGAUUUCUGAAGUUUGGACAAAGAGCAAAAGAAGAUAUGAGACUUCCUGGCUACAUAUUCUUUGAGACGGUUUGUGGGUAAGGAAACUUUCCUUUUCCCUUAGUAAAACUAACCCGGAUCCUCCAAGUUUGGCAGUGGAGGGAGAAACUCCCCGCGGAGACAGAGAGUUGGAUCUCAUAGUCCCAACUGGUGUCCCUAUAAGGAAAGAGUCCUAUACAUGGCUCUGAAUUUCCCAAAGGACAUUGCAGACCAGGCUGGAACAGCUGAGUAAGACUUUACUGAUGACUGAGAGAUGAUAUAGGGAAAUAAGCACAACAAGGAGCAACGCUCUGGACAAUGAGGAUAAGAUUCAGCUGUCCUUGAAAAGCAGUGUUAUCCAUAGGAGGUGUGUGUGUGUGUGUGUGUGUGUGUGUGUUCGCGUGUGUGUGUACAUGCUGUCAACAAUAAAGCUGGACAUAGUUAAAAUGGAAAAAACAGAUUUUAUACAGUAACUACUGACAGUAGAGAAAAGAGCUGAGCCCCAUUCUGAUUUGUGCACAGCUGACUAGGUGCUUUAAAGGGAAAAUUGAGAAGGGGAGGGGAUGGGGAGCUGGUGGGCACCGAAGUAAAGGCCGGGAUGUGAAAAAUUACAAAACGUUGGUCAGUAAAUGUGAUUAUUCCAGCCGUCUGCUGGCUGGCAGUGUUGAACUUAGGGUUGUAUCCUCCCACAGAGACUGGCAGCCAGGGGCCCUGUACUUCCAGAUUGUUACAUUCAAAGGAUGACUUUCAGGUCCUUGAGAAAGACAUCAUGGGCCAUAAGAGAUACAUACUUAUAUCUCUCAAAGGAACAGAGGAAGGGUUUACAAUCCUAAGCCCUUUUUAGUAAAUGCCCUAAGAAAGGGAGGUUCGGGGCCUAUCAUCAGGUAUUGGUUAGAACAGAUGGCAAAUUCUUUUGACAGUCUUGACCUUUUCCAGACAGAUACACAAAAGGAGGGCUGGUUCACCCCGGGGAUGUGUUCUUAGGCAGCCAUGCUAGGGUUGAUCAAGUCUGUUAAUGCAAGAGUUUGAAUGGAGUGUUCACGUAAAGAAUUUUUGCCAUUUUCAGUGACCCAGGUAUAUUUGCUUCAUGAAAGAGAUACAAUUAAAGGAAUAGGUGUGCUCACCACUUGUACUGCUGGUGGGGAUAUUUUAAGAGUGAACUGCCCGUUUUCUACAACUUAACACAAGCCCACUGUGAGACCAGGAGUGCCAAAACCCCUCCUUCUAGAAUAUUCUAAAGACAACUAAAGAGAAAAAUAAUACUAAAACUUCUUUCAAUGUACAUAGGCCAGAGUGGUGUUCUAAAACAUUUUGGACUAUGUCCCACAGUUUCAAAAUGGAAACACUUUCAAUAUUUUCUGUUCUGUUUUUUAAGUUUUAUUUAUUUAUUUUGAGAUAGAGAGAGAGAGAGAG